GAUGAACGCUGGCGGCGUGCCUAAUACAUGCAAGUCGAGCGAACAGACGAGGAGCUUGCUCCUCUGACGUUAGCGGCGGACGGGUGAGUAACACGUGGAUAACCUACCUAUAAGACUGGGAUAACUUCGGGAAACCGGAGCUAAUACCGGAUAAUAUAUUGAACCGCAUGGUUCAAUAGUGAAAGACGGUUUUGCUGUCACUUAUAGAUGGAUCCGCGCCGCAUUAGCUAGUUGGUAAGGUAACAGCUUACCAAGGCAACGAUGCGUAGCCGACCUGAGAGGGUGAUCGGCCACACUGGAACUGAGACACGGUCCAGACUCCUACGGGAGGCAGCAGUAGGGAAUCUUCCGCAAUGGGCGAAAGCCUGACGGAGCAACGCCGCGUGAGUGAUGAAGGUCUUCGGAUCGUAAAACUCUGUUAUUAGGGAAGAACAAAUGUGUAAGUAACUAUGCACGUCUUGACGGUAUCUAAUCAGAAAGCCACGGCUAACUACGUG
rnacentral:rRNA from 1 species